rnacentral:misc_RNA from 1 species
AAAUCAUUUCCCAUGAGAUACAGAGAACUGAGAUUAGUCCAUCCUGAAAUGAAUUUUUGUAUCGAACCAUUCAAGCUGUUCCCAGCUACUCCAAAAAAGAUUAGAGACUUGAGGUCUUUAUAAGUUGGAGGCAGAGGUCCAGUCAAUUUGUUGGAACUCAAAUCAAGGCGUUCAAGCUUCCUCAGGUUUCCAAUUUCGAAUGGAAGACUACCACUGAGUUGAUUCUCAUCUAAUUCCAUUGUAAUCAGAUUAUAGAGUUUUCCCAGUUCUCUAGGAAUUUCACCUGACAACCUAUUGUUGCUCAAAGUCAAAACCUGGAGUGAUGCCAGUUUCCCCAAUGAUGGAGGUAUGGAGCCAUUGAGGAAGUUAUUUCUCAGAUUGCUGUGGCCAGAAAACAUUUAGUAGAUGGACAGUGAUAACAUAUUAAUUUGGCAAUUAAGGACAGGCCAAGAUUAUGAUGCAGGCAAAAAUGGAAAGACUUACAGCCUAACAAGAGACUUCAGAUUGCCCAAGGACUCAGGAAUAACACAAUGAAGAUGGUUGGAGCCCAAAUCAAGGUCCUCCAAGUAAGUAAGCAUAGAUACAAUUUGAUCGAUCCUUCCACCUUUCAACUCUAGAACAGCAGUAGAUAUGUAAGUGACAUGACAGACAGUGCUAUUAUUCUCGUUGGAGUUGGAGCAGUCGCAUCGAAUCGUAAUAUCCUUGGAGUCCAUCGUACGGCAAUCGGCGGUAAUGCGUGGUGCUGAUGGUAAUUUCAACUCGUCAACGAAUUUAACAAGAGCAUGUGCUGCCAAAAAUUUUGAUAAACAAUGAUUUACCAACCACAUCCAGUAAACCCUAAUAAUUUUGGAUCUAUAAACAAUUAUUUAAAAGUUCACAUACGAUAAUUUUCCAUAUAAAUUUGUAAACUUCUCGUCACAACUCAUAUUAGAAGUAUGCAUUUCAAUUAAUCGAAUCAAAAGUUUUAAUUAUUUUAAAUAUUAA